AGAGUUUGAUCCUGGCUCAGAUUGAACGCUGGCGGCGUGCCUAACACAUGCAAGUCGAGCGGUAACAGGUGUAGCAAUACAUGCUGACGAGCGGCGAACGGGUGAGUAAUGCUUUGGAAUCUUCCCAGUAGUGGGGAAUAACCAGUCGAAAGAUUGGCUAAUACCGCAUACGUCUGUAAAGGGAAAGCGGGGGAUCGUAAGACCUCGCGCUAUUGGAUGAGCCAAAGUCGGAUUAGCUAGUUGGUGGGGUAAUGGCCUACCAAGGCGACAAUCCGUAGCUGGUCUGAGAGGACGACCAGCCACACCGGAACUGAGACACGGUCCGGACUCCUACGGGAGGCAGCAGUGGGGAAUAUUGGACAAUGGGGGAAACCCUGAUCCAGCGACGCCGCGUGUGUGAAGAAGGCCUGCGGGUUGUAAAGCACUUUUAGUGGGGACAAAAAGCUACGGACUAACACUUCGUGGUCUUGAUUUAACCCAAAGAAAAAGCACCGGCUAACUCUGUGCCAGCAGCCGCGGUAAUACAGAGGGUGCGAGCGUUAAUCGGAAUUACUGGGCGUAAAGCGCGCGUAGACGGUUUUGUAAGUCAGAUGUGAAAUCCCCGGGCUCAACCUGGGAACUGCAUUUGAUACUGCAUGGCUAGAGUAUCGAAGAGGGAAGUGGAAUUUCCGGUGUAGCGGUGAAAUGCGUAGAUAUCGGAAGGAACACCAGUGGCGAAAGCGACUUCCUGGUCGAAUACUGACGUUCAUGUGCGAAAGCGUGGGGAGCAAACAGGAUUAGAUACCCUAGUAGUCC
rnacentral:rRNA from 1 species